CACGUAGGGUGCGAGCGUUGUCCGGAAUUAUUGGGCGUAAAGAGCUCGUAGGCGGUUUGUCGCGUCUGCUGUGAAAACCCGGGGCUCAACUCCGGGCUUGCGGGCGAUACGGGCAGGCUAGAGUUCGGUAGGGGAGACUGGAAUUCCUGGUGUAGCGGUGAAAUGCGCAGAUAUCAGGAGGAACACCGGUGGCGAAGGCGGGUCUCUGGGCAGUAACUGACGCUGAGGAGCGAAAGCGUGGGGAGCGAACAGG
rnacentral:rRNA from 1 species